UACGUAGGGGGCGAGCGUUGUCCGGAUUCAUUGGGCGUAAAGAGCUCGUAGGCGGCUUGGCAAGUCGGGUGUGAAAACUUCAGGCUCAACCUGGAGAUGCCACUCGAUACUGCUAUGGCUAGAGUCCGGUAGGGGACCACGGAAUUCCUGGUGUAGCGGUGAAAUGCGCAGAUAUCAGGAGGAACACCGGUGGCGAAGGCGGUGGUCUGGGCCGGCACUGACGCUGAGGAGCGAAAGCCAGGGGAGCAAACGGG
rnacentral:rRNA from 1 species